rnacentral:rRNA from 1 species
AUUGAACUGAAGAGUUUGAUCCUGGCUCAGAUUGAACGCUGGCGGCAUGCCUUACACAUGCAAGUCGAACGGCAGCACGGGCUUCGGCCUGGUGGCGAGUGGCGAACGGGUGAGUAAUACAUCGGAACAUGUCCUGUAGUGGGGGAUAGCCCGGCGAAAGCCGGAUUAAUACCGCAUACGAUCUGAGGAUGAAAGCGGGGGACCUUCGGGCCUCGCGCUAUAGGGUUGGCCGAUGGCUGAUUAGCUAGUUGGUGGGGUAAAGGCCUACCAAGGCGACGAUCAGUAGCUGGUCUGAGAGGACGACCAGCCACACUGGGACUGAGACACGGCCCAGACUCCUACGGGAGGCAGCAGUGGGGAAUUUUGGACAAUGGGCGCAAGCCUGAUCCAGCAAUGCCGCGUGUGUGAAGAAGGCCUUCGGGUUGUAAAGCACUUUUGUCCGGAAAGAAAUCAUUCUGGCUAAUAACCGGAGUGGAUGACGGUACCGGAAGAAUAAGCACCGGCUAACUACGUGCCAGCAGCCGCGGUAAUACGUAGGGUGCGAGCGUUAAUCGGAAUUACUGGGCGUAAAGCGUGCGCAGGCGG